UAAUCUUGCUACUACAAGAUUGAGGUGAAGA
rnacentral:piRNA from 1 species